ACGACAUUUUAAAGCAGCUGCCACAGAUUUCAUACCUUCAUUUCCAUUCAUUUCCAUGAAAAUUAGUUUAGCAAUGAAACACUGAAAACUUCAAACAUAAAGUGUCAAGAAGAUAUCAGCAGAUCAGAUCAUCACACUCUGUUUUCUGUCUCUCCCUACCAGCAGAAUGAGUGGAAGCUUCCUCUCCAAAGAGCCUCAGGCAUACCUGCCUCACCCAGAGUCAGACCAGGCUGAGCACAUAGCCGGAUACACGUAGAGUGGAGCUAAGGGGAUGGAUGAUCUUGGUCUUGAGAAUGUGAGGUCUGUUUACCAGCAGGAAACCAAAGUCUAUUCAACAGUUCAAAAAUGACUGAUCCAUAGGACUCAGACUGAUAGCUGCUGUAAAUGCAAUGCAAAUGUUUGUGUUUUGAAUGGAAAUCUUUUCAUUCAUGCCACCACUGAAAGAUGCUUCACAGCAGGUGAAGUGACCCCAAAGGUGUACCCACUGUGUUUAAAUGUGACUUAACCAAACCUCAGUACAUCCUAAGGUGAGAAUGUGCUGUAUUGGCAGGUGUGAUCGUUUGCCUAAGAUAAAACUAUAAGCCCAUAAGCUUCAUCUUUACUUCAGACAACUUCCAAUCUCUAAAUCUCCUCCCUCAGUCUCAUUACAGUGUCAACACUCAGGCUGCUCGUCUUUGCCUAAUCAUCCAUCCAUCCUAAACCCAGUCAUUAGCAUGUAUGAAUGAUAAAAAGGCUAUCAGGAAGAACGACCAUGUGCCAUAAUCCCCCUCAGCAUUCUUGCUCUGUAACACUAGGAAUCUGGUUGACAUUUCUGCUGCUCAUUGAUCCAUCUUGGCACAUUUGGGUUCUGACAUGUCUGUGAUCAGAGGAACAGUUUUCCUGGUUUAACAGUGACAACAGCAAAGAUUUUCUACUUUUAUUAUGUCCUUUUGUCCAUUCACUACACGUCACAUGGUGGUAAAGAUGAACUGAUGCCUCACAACAAGAAGAUUCCUGGUUUGAAUCCCGACUGUGUGUGGAGUUUGGAUGUUCUCCCUAUGCCUCCACGGGUUUCCUCUUGGUACCCCUGCUUCUUCCCACAGUCCAAAGACAUUUAUGUUUGGUUAAUUGGUGAUUCUAAAUUAGCCAUUAAUGUGAGGUAGAUAAAGUGCUUUAUGAGUGUAUGGUUAAAAUGUGACUUGUAGUCUAAAGCACUUUGAGUAGUCAGUAAGACUAGAAAAGUGCUAUGUAAAUGCAAGUACAUUACAUUACAUUAUCUGCUAUGCUGAUCAAUACAUUUAUCUAUUAUAUCUUUCACCUGCCUGUAACUUGGAUAUUGCUUUUUAUCUACUUACCUCCGGUACUACCUGAUAUUUAUUGUCUUUUUAUUGAUUAUACACUAUUUUGUCUGUUUGUAAUUUAGUUUAAAGUUUACCAGGAAACUCUUACAGCUGAGUCUUCCCAUUUCUGUUUGAGGAUUAAACAAAAAUGCUUUCAUUAGUGAGCUUUAGAUGAGCUUAAGGGUGGAUUUUGGAAGUUUGGUCAGCGCUGGUUGGCUCAGACUUAAUCCUAAACUAAGCUAAUCAUCCCCUUGAUCUAACUCCAAAAUUAACAUACAGACUUCAAAAUCAAAUUUAACUUCUUAUAUAACUGCAAGAAAAACAAACACCACUGAGCACACAUUUCUUAAAAUGUUGAAAUGUUCCUUUAACUGAAAAUUGGGUAACAAUGACAAGGAAUCUGACAGUGUCAACAACCCGCGUGUGGAUCAUUUUUUCUUCCUGCUCUGUCACUCAGAGCUAAUUACAAAUACAACACAGAUCCAGCUAUACCUGCUAUUUACAGUACAAUGUAAAACAUACACAUUCACAGGGGCAGUAUUAACAUCACUGCAGUGUUGUCUUACAAUAACAGUGACCUUUCCCCUUACAGUGGGUUGUUUUUCUAAAGUUUGUGGUCAAUUUAAAGGCCCCAUUUCCUCCAUUUCCUUCAUAAUAUCAUGGCAAAGAAUAGGGGUCAACACCUCCACUGUUUUUCUGCAAUACCUGCUUAGCUGAACUUUGACACAAAUGCCACACAAUGCAGAUGCAGAUUCCCACACUGAUACAUAAACACAGAGACUUUUUCCCUAUACUAAAACUUCAUAUAGUCAGGAGGAGCAGUGGCAAAAUCCAGGAGCUCUUCUCCUUUCCUUCUGAUUUACAGAAGCCAAUAUGUUCAAGUUUCCUUGUUUUCUCCACCGGGACGUCUAGCCCUGACAGUAAAUCUCUCUCACCAAUACUCCUCCAUAUGGCUGCAUGAAAAUUUCAUUGUGGAGAGUCUGAGGCUAAAGGGCCUCACUGGUGGAGAACAAGUGUGUGUGAGAAAGAGAGAGGGGUUUCUGAGAUGUGGUGAUUUGGUCCUGGGUGGCAUUUGUACUGGUGGGAGUUUGUUGUCAUGUGGGUGCUGUCAGUACGUCUGAGUACUGUGAUUGUGUUUACACCUGAACACAAGGUUUAUAAUUUAUUGCAGUGCCAUUUGUUGCCUUAAGGAACAUUCGGUUUGCAAGAUUUACUCUGAAUUCUGCCCAUCAAACAUAAAGUGAUUUUUAGGGGAUCACACAUCAUUUUUUAUAUUACACACUACA